rnacentral:lncRNA from 1 species
CAUGCAUGAACUGACUGUGAAUUAGCAUCAUUUCAUGAUCUAUUGAGUGUGGAAUAAUCACAUGAAUUCAAAGUGACAGGCUCAUUUGUGUUGAGUGAGAAAAAAGCAUCAAUGACACAUCUGCAUUAAUGCAAGUAUUAUUUCAUCAGGAUUUAUGCAUUACAUAGAUGUUAUUCAGCAUAUAUUCAUACACAGACUUAUUUAUUGUUUUAUUACUUUUGUCAUUUUUAGAUUAUUUCAGUGACUUAUGUAACAUUUUCUGUCUUAAACAGAGGGGUACCAGCAAUUUUCGAGCUGCAGUUACCCGCUGCAGGACAAGCUUCCUCAGAGGCACAGCCUCUUUCCCUGACUCGACUUUUCUCACAGCAGACAGCCAUACAGGAGGAUAUUUUGUAUUUGGUAAUUUAUUUAAUUAAAAAUAUUUUUUUUUCUUGUGAUUUGUGAUGUUUUUAAUUUCCCAGAUCAAUGGUUGUACCAUAGAAGCUAAUACUGACCUCUACAACCUCUCCCUCUAACGACAUCAGGCCCUGAUGCUCUUGGUACUGACCCAGUGCUACCUGUGGUGAGGCCGGAUGCAGUAGAGUCUCUGCUCUUACCUGAAGUUCCGCAGGGCAGUGAAUUUUGCUGCCCUGGAAAAACUGUGUCCCACGCCCAACAUUAUUUGUAAAAGGAGGCGACUUUCCCAUCAGGGUGUGGCCCUGCAUGUGAUAGGCUUCCCCCACGGGCACUGGUAAGGCAUUUUGUUGUCUGCCUGUAUUAUAUUCAUUUUUUAACCUUUUAAGGGCCAAUUUAAGACAUAAAGUCACUAAUAUAGCAAAAGAAAUGGAAGGAAAAUGACCUAAAAAACUGCAUUGAUGAAGUGAUUCUAUAAGUGCAUUCUCUUUCACUAACAGCAGCACUAACCAACAUCAGUACCAUGUAAAAAAUCACCAGCUUCAGAUUAUGUGUUAUAAUAAAAAUAGGUCAUUUUCCUUCAAUUUUUUGCUAUAUUAGUGACUUUAUGUCUUAAAUUGGCCCUUAAAAGGUUAAAAAAAAUAUAUUUUCAAUUAAACAUUUGCUAGUUUUUAACAGGGCAGAAGUAAAAUAAGAGAUGUAUUAAAAAAAAUCUGAAAAAAAUAUUAAUCCAAUAUGAUUUUACAGCAAACAAAGUAGUGGCUUUUUUUGGCCACUGAGGUUUUGAGGAUAUAUAUAUAUACAUAAUAAUAAUAUAUAACACAUGUAAAUAUAAUAUAUUCUUUCUCUCUCAGCCAUCACCUGUGGAGCCCUGGGUUGCUGGCUUGCUGAGCCCUUUCUUUCGGUAGGUAGUGUUAAAUUUAAAAUACUAAUUCAAGUGGCAUGUUUCCAUGACCAAUUUAUUGAUUUAUUUAUUUGUUUUGCAGUGCCCAGCCUGUCCUCACCGCUGCCCCUGAUACCAGGCUGCUGUGUUGGCUGUUUUGCCAUAAUUUGAGUUUCUUUAUUUUAAGUCUUUAAAGUUUACUCUUUCCUUCUGUAAACUCUUUGCUUGAGUCUUUGUUUUUGCACUUUUGUUAAGUUCUGGUUUUCUUACUUAAUUUCUCCCUGGGAAUACAGGUGCCUUUAGAUAGCUAACCCUGAUGAUAAUAUUAAUAAAAAAAAAACAAGACCAAACAACAAAAAUGAGUGACCACUGUGUGUUUUAAGCUUGAGGUUUCAAUAUUGUAGUUGCUGUGAUUCUUGAUGAACAAAGGUAUCACAAUUUCAGUGGUUUCUAAUAUGCUUCAGCCCAAUCAUUAAAGGCUCUUCACAUGGUG